rnacentral:rRNA from 1 species
UACGUAGGUGACCAGCGUUGUCCGGAUUUACUGGGCGUAAAGAGCGCGCAGGCGGUCGUUCAAGUCGAGUGUGAAAGCCCCCGGCUCAACUGGGGAGGGUCAUUCGAUACUGAUCGACUGGAAGGCAGGAGAGGGAAGCGGAAUUCCGGGUGUAGCGGUGAAAUGCAUAGAUAUGACACAGAACACCGAUUGCGAAGGCAGCUGACGAAACUGUAACUGACGCUGAUGCACGAAAGCGUGGGGAUCAAACAGG